rnacentral:rRNA from 1 species
CCUACGGGCGGCAGCAGUGGGGAAUAUUGGGCAAUGGACGCAAGUCUGACCCAGCAACGCCGCGUGAAGGAAGAAGGCUUUCGGGUUGUAAACUUCUUUUAAGGUGGAAGUGCAGAAGGCGUUGCCCAUUGACUAAGCCACGGCUAACUACGUGCCAGCAGCCGCGGUAAUACGUAGGUGGCAAGCGUUGUCCAGAUUUACUGGGUGUAAAGGGCGUGCAGCCGGAGAGACAAGUCAGAUGUGAAUUCCACGGGCUCAACCCGUGAACUGCAUUUGAACCUGGUUCCCUUGAGUGUCGGAGAGGUAAGCGGAAUUCGUGGUGUAGCGGUGAAAUGCGUAGAUAUAAGGAAGAACACCAGUGGCGAAGGCGGAUUACUGGACGAUAACUGACGGUGAGGCGCGAAAGCGUGGGGAGCAAACAGGAUUAGAUACCCGAGUAGUC